UUGUUUUCGGACAUUUUAGGCGCGUCUUUCGCUCAUUCACUGCAGUUAACACGAGCCGGACUGCCUCAGAUAAUCUUAUAUAAAAUCCUAACAAAAUUAUGAUGUCUACAAAACCAAAAUGAUGUAACCAAAAUCUUUCAAUUAGUUUGACAAUAGAACUGUCAGUUGUGGAUGCAAAUGGUAACGUGUUCGCAUAACGGGGUAAUCGGUUUCUUAAAAUUUCAAAGCUGCCAACCCACUACGGACUUUUAAUUAUAAUGGAAAUAUGAAUAUGUAUAUGUUAAUUUUUAUGUAUUUUGUAUGAUGAAAUAAUAAAUUAAUUCAUUUAUAUGCAUAUUAA